UUACUUGAGGAUGUGGAGGCCCUUUAUUCGAGCCUGGCCUACAGCUUAACCUAGAAAGUGACAUAACCAAGAUUUCUCCAAAAGCAAAAGAAAACCAAAAAAUUUGCAUACUGCUCUGUUUUUCUUCAAGCGUAGCCUUGAUCAUAAGCUAAGAUCGGAGAAGCAGACGAAUUGGUAAGCUGAAGGUGCCAUGGCGAUGGAGAUACUCACUGCAAUUAUUCCUACAAUAAUUGACUACACAGUUAGACCACUUGGACGGCAAGUGAGUUAUGUC